ACAAAAAUUCCUAAGAAUGAUCCGGGUCCUUGCCAUCCUCCUAAUUUCGUCCCGUGCUUGCAAAAGUCCGGAGUUGGGAGACUUGUGAUCCUCUUUUUAUGAUUAUUUAUGCUUCUUGUGACGGAAGUCGUGAAUUAGUUUCGCAGCUUUGUGGAGAUCCAGGGUUGCCUACUGUCACUGAAAUUAUUCGGACUGCAUCUUCAGUUGGUUUUGGAGAAGAUUGGCUGAAGUUGCUUCUCUUGAGGAUUUGUUUAGAUGAUGUUCGCCUUCCCUCGACUCUUGUCAAGAUUAUAUGGUGUGGGUAGUAAUUGUGAUAAUGGAGAAGAAAUUAGUUUAAGUGGCAAUCCAUUUUUGACUGAACAAGCAUAUCUUUGAAUGUUGUGUCAGAGAUUUUGAAUGAGCGACUGAAGGAGAUUACCAUCCUUUUGCUUUGUGCAUUUUUGGAAUAUUCAAGAAAUCAGUUGAAGCCAUUGAGUUUGGUUCAAGAGGUGAAUCUGGGCUUCCGACAGGAUCUGCAGUGAUUGAUGUCCUUGGUUUCUCACUCGCCAUGUUAAGAGAUAUAGGUGCUACCAAAGGUGGAGUUGGCAUAGACGAGGAUUUGAUUGAUGUUGUUGAUACACUUUUUUCAUCUGGACGUCUUUAUUUGUCUUAUGCCUGCUUCGUGAACUAGGGCCUCCGGCAAAAAUCAGGGAAGCCUUGAGGCAGGCUGAUAACCAAGAAGCAACUACUUCAUACUUCCCUAAAUUGUGUCCAUAUAAAGGAUUUCGGAGGGACUUUGUUGCUGUCACAGGCAAUUGUGCUCAUCAAAGAAAACAUGUGCAAGAUGACGUUAGGCAGGAGAAUGGGAUGCUUCUGAUGUUACAACAGUGUGUUACAGAUGAAAACAGCCCAUUUUUAAGGAAGUGGGAGGAACCUAUAUAGGAAGGGAAUUCAGAAAACCAACAGGCAGUCGCUGAAUUGGAGCUUCAAGGGUCAGUUGAUAUGCCUGAACUAGCUGGACUUGGUCUCAGAGUGGAGAUGGAUCAAAACACUAGGCGUGCAAAGCUUUGUUAAUAUCUCAUGAUGAUGCUGGCUUGGUUAAUUAAAUCAACUCUUUUGACCAGGGUAAAUAAAGUUUCGUAUAACAAAACCAUUUGCGAUUGUCACUCUUGCCUUACCUGCUGCUACCUCUGACUGACGAAGUAGUCCCACUUCACGAAAAGAAAGUAGGAUCUGAGAUUGUGGAGUGAAGAUAUAAAAGCUGCAUGUGCAUCGGAGAAACCAAUGUGUAGGCUUAUUCCGUGUCCCACUGAAUUAGGGCCUAUGCUGUCAACAGAAGGGUCUUCUUACCUGGUUGCCGGUUAUCACUCCCCUUAAACAGGCCAUUUCUGCUUCUCACGAAACGUACGAGGACGUUGCCCGCUCAUACUGCUCCCAGCCACUAGCAGCGUCUCAUUUUCCCGAAAGCCAGUCAUACCAUUCCACUCUAGCUAAGCUAAUGAUGAAAGAGGAUAUGGAUUUGUCUGCACUGUAGAUGGUGUUUUCAAAA